rnacentral:rRNA from 1 species
GUAGUCCACGCUGUAAACGAUGAGAACUAGAUGUUGGUUGGGGAACCCAUCAGUAUCGAAGCUAACGCGAUAAGUUCUCCGCCUGGGAAGUACGGCCGCAAGGUUGAAACUCAAAUGAAUUGACGGGGGCCCGCACAAGCGGUGGAGCAUGUGGUUUAAUUCGAUGCAACGCGAAGAACCUUACCUACCCUUGACAUCCUGCGAAUUCUGAAGAGAUUCGGAAGUGCCGAAAGGAACGCAGAGACAGGUGCUGCAUGGCUGUCGUCAGCUCGUGUUGUGAGAUGUUGGGUUAAGUCCCGUAACGAGCGCAACCCUUGUCCUUAGUUACCAGCAAGUAAAGUUGGGGACUCUAAGGAGACUGCCGGUGAUGAACCGGAGGAAGGCGGGGACGACGUCAAGUCAUCAUGGCCUUUAUGGGUAGGGCUACACACGUGCUACAAUGGGGCGUACAGAGGGUCGCCAACCCGCGAGGGGGAGCCAAUCUCUUAAAGCGUCUCGUAGUCCGGAUUGGAGUCUGCAACUCGACUCCAUGAAGUUGGAAUCGCUAGUAAUCGCGAAUCAGCAACGUCGCGGUGAAUACGUUCCCGGGCCUUGUACACACCGCCCGUCACGUCAUGGAAGUGGAUGGUACCAGAAGCGGGUAGUUUAACCGUAAGGGAGACGCCUGCCACGGUAUGAUUCAUGACUGGGACG